rnacentral:lncRNA from 1 species
AUGCUGACCCUGGGGUGGUUCCAGCCACACCCAGCAUUGGAGAGCAAGAGCCUGGGGCCAAUGCCACACUCUGGGUGUAACAGGAACAGAUUCCUGGAUCUGAAGAGCAGGCCUGGGCCGGAUACUCCCCUGGAUCCCAAGAGAAAGGGCUGUGAAACACUCGGGAAGGUGAGUGGGUAUAAAUGGCCCUUUACCGGCUCAAGAUACAAGGUUUUUGUUUCUCUGGUUGGUGUGCUAAAUGCAUCCAGACCCUCCAAGCACAAAAUCUGUGAUUUCCUUCUUAAGCCUCUUCCACUAACAUGUAUACUCAGUUGAAACCACUGAGGACUUACCCAGUCCAAAGAGGGACCCGUUCCCGCCCUGCCUCCCCCCCCCCCCCCCCGUAGAGACUCAGUCCUACUACUGAGCGGGCUGUGUUGUGCCAGUCAUGGCCACAAGGUGUCGCUGUGGACCAGGUGUCCUGCACAGCCCCUGCAGCCUGGCUCACACUGGAGGAGGGGGUGGCUUGGGAAGGAGCCCCGGGGCACCCGGGGCCCUGCCUGCUGGCUGUCAUCAUUUUUCUUGCAGAGCAGAGCAUGCACCAAGGAGCAAGCCCUGACUGGUUCAAAAUGAUCUGAGACAGGAUGGUCACCAAAUCUGAUCUUCCCCGACUUUUCCCCUCCUGCCCAGAGGUAGAGACUUAGCACGCAAAUGAAACCCACCAUGUAUGAAGAAGUGUGUUCUGUCCACUGUGCCUGCACCCCACUUUCCUGAGGCCCCCCACCCCCGUGCCCUCCUGCCUUGGCUAGCUUGGGGAGCCAUUCUGUCAACUUCAUCUCCCUGCAGCUGCAACUGUUGCCCUAGUAAAACUUUGCCUGUGCCUUUAAAUUUGGGGUCCAGACUCGUUUCUACUGUCACUGGGUCCAGGACCCUAGUUGGGUAACACUGUGGCCUCUGCUGCAGCUCCCUGCAGGCUGCCGGGGUGGGGAGGGAAGGGAGCCUGACUCUGAUGAGCCCGGGGCUCCCCGCAUUAUCCCACAUGCUCUGCCCACAGUGUCCAGGUUCUCGUGUGGAAUCUGGACUUUCCCCUCCCCCUUGGAGUGAGCCCCUGUGGGGAGGGGCCCUGGUAUCCUUUUCUGCCAGCAGGCUUUCGUCUGGACACUCAAACCCAUCAGAGGGGUUCUAAUAAUGUUUGAUCUAAGAAAGGAAGGGGCUGGUGGAAUGGGGUAGUCUCUCUCCCUUUCCUCC